rnacentral:rRNA from 1 species
UGAGGAAUAUUGGUCAAUGGACGAGAGUCUGAACCAGCCAAGUAGCGUGCAGGAUGACGGCCCUAUGGGUUGUAAACUGCUUUUGUUUGGGAAUAAUCGACAUUACGUGUAAUGUUUUGCAUGUACCAUUCGAAUAAGGACCGGCUAAUUCCGUGCCAGCAGCCGCGGUAAUACGGAAGGUCCAGGCGUUAUCCGGAUUUAUUGGGUUUAAAGGGAGUGUAGGCGGUUGGUUAAGCGUGUUGUGAAAUGUAGAUGCUCAACAUCUGACUUGCAGCGCGAACUGGCUGACUUGAGUACACACAACGUAGGCGGAAUUCAUGGUGUAGCGGUGAAAUGCUUAGAUAUCAUGACGAACUCCGAUUGCGAAGGCAGCUUACGGGAGCGCAACUGACGCUAAAGCUCGAAGGUGCGAGUAUCGAACAGG